rnacentral:lncRNA from 1 species
CCUCUGAUGUUCAAAUCAGAUUUAAAGAACAACGAGAACAGCAACGAAUUCUCUGAGAGAGAUAGAUUGACUUACUUGAUCUUCGAUGUUUUGGUUGCUUAUAUAAAAGACUAUCGAAUAACUGGUCGAACUGUUGUGAGAUUAUACGAUCCUGAGAUUAUAGGACCAUUGAACAUGCCAAUGCCAUUGCGAACGAGAUAAUUUAGCCUUCAAUCGCUCCUGCA